GAUGAACAACGUAGCGAAAUGCGAUACUUGGUGUGAAUUGCAGAAUCCCGUGAACCAUCGAGUCUUUGAACGCAAGUUGCGCCCGAAGCCACUAGGCCGAGGGCACGCCUGCCUGGGCGUCACACGCCGUUGCCCCCCCAUCUACUCCUUCGGGAUUGCGGGGGGGCGGAUGAUGGCCUCCUGUGCGCCUAGCCGCGCGGUUGGCAUAAAUACCAAGUCCUCGGCGACGCACGCCACGACAAUCGGUGGUUGCGAAACCUCGGUUGCCCGUCGUGUGCGUUCGUCGCGCAUCGAGGGCUCGAAAAAAUGCUCGGCUCCGGCUGGGCUUUCAACGCGACCCCAGGUCAGGCGGGGUUACCCGCUGAAUUUAAGCAUAUCAAUAAGCGGAGGA
rnacentral:misc_RNA from 1 species